rnacentral:rRNA from 1 species
AAUCAACGCUGGCGGCGCGCCUCAGACAUGCAAGUCGAACGCGAAACCUUCCUUCGGGAGGGGAGUAGAGUGGCGCACGGGUGAGUAACACGUAGGUAAUUUGCCUUCGGGUGGGGAAUAACAGCCGGAAACGGCUGCUAAUACCGCAUAAUGCAGCGGCUCGACAUCGAGACAGUUGUUAAAGCGGGGGAUUCGCAAGAACCUCGCGCCUGAAGAGAAGCCUGCGGCAGAUUAGCUAGUUGGUAGGGUAAUGGCCUACCAAGGCGACGAUCUGUAACCGGCCUGAGAGGGCGGUCGGUCACACUGACACUGACAUACGGGUCAGACUCCUACGGGAGGCAGCAGUCGGGAAUUUUGGG